CCUACGGGAGGCAGCAGUUGGGAAUCUUGGACAAUGGGGGAAACCCUGAUCCAGCCAUGCCGCGUGAGUGAUGAAGGCCUUCGGGUUGUAAAGCUCUUUUACCCGGGAAGAUAAUGACUGUACCGGGAGAAUAAGCUCCGGCUAACUUCGUGCCAGCAGCCGCGGUAAU
rnacentral:rRNA from 1 species